AAACGUUGUCAGAUCACAUCACUUUUUAUCGUGACUUUUCGGUGAACCAAAAACAACGUGUCUUUCACAGAAAAACACUGACCUGACUUCGGAAUCUUGACCAGACAGACUGCUGCUGACUCCCAGGAUGCUGAGUUUUACUUAGUUGCUGUGGACCAGCAUGACAAAGAGAAACAGUGAUUACAGAGAGAUGGCACCAGUCAGCACUGCUUUCACCACAACAACACUGUCCAGCUGCCCAACAGGAAGACAUGGACAAACAACCUGAAGACACAACAGAGAGAAACACAAUCUGUUGGUCAGUCCAGGCUCCAAGGCAGAGAGACGCUCUCACUGCCCAGCUCUUUGCGGAGGACCGAUGUGAAGCAACAGGUGUUGGCCUUCAGUCAGAACAGCUGUCUUUGCAGGCUACAUAA